rnacentral:sRNA from 1 species
CUGCGGAAGGAUCAUUAUCGUACAAAAUGUGUGAGGCAUGCAAGGGCUGUCGCUGCUGCGGCUGUAAUGGCCCCAAGUUGGGAAUGCGAGGUGGCGUUUCCACAACGGAAUCACGUGCUUGUGCGCUGAGUUCAAGACCGUCCCCUCCGGAAAACUUUGGUGUCCAUCACCCCUCGCAGCGUAAGCUGUGGCCGGAUUUGGAGUAAUUGGUCCUUGACUAGCCAGGGAAGUAAUUCCGCAGCUAGCAGGACUCACCGAGUUAGUCUUAGGAGAUCAGGGUGUGUCAUCUGUCGCGUGGGUGCGCCGUGCCCCUUGUAAACCUUUUCUUUGGUCGCUUGACCUGACGUGCACGCCAGAGUGUGUCCUCUCACAUGAAAUCCAACUCACCCCUUUGUGCACCACCGCGUGGGCAACCCUUUGGGAUCAAACUGAUCCAGGAGGGGGCUUGCGUUUUCACACAAACCCCUAUCUAAAAGUGUAUAGAAUGACCCCCAUUUUUGCGAUAACACGCAAUAAAUACAACUUUCAACAACGGAUCUCUUGGCUCUCGCAUCGAUGAAGAACGCAGCGAAAUGCGAUACGUAAUGUGAAUWGCAGAAWUCAGUGAAUCAUCGAAUCUUWGAACGCACCUUGCGCCCCUUGGUAUUCCGAGGGGCACACCCGUUUGAGUGUCGUGAAAAUCUCAMCCUCCUKGGUUUCUUCUGGACACCGAAGGAGGCYUGGACYUUGGAGGCCUUUGCUGGCAUCUCUUGCCAGCUCCUCUCAAAUGAAUUAGCAGGGUCCUCUUUGCCGAUCCUCGACAUGUGAUAAGAUGUUUCCAUGUCUUGGUUUAUGGCUCUGUUGCCUUUGGGACCUGCUUCUAACCGUCUCAACGACAACGUUUGAGCGUGUCUCCCUCCUCGGGAAACCAUCUCAAACCCACAAACCCUUGACCUCAAAUCGGGUGAGACUACCCGCUGAACUUAAGCAUAUCAAUAAGCGGAGGAAA